UUUCCUUCUUUGCAUUUGAAGUUAUUAGGGUUGGAUUUUUGACAUAUAUUAUAGUUUGCCUUUAGUAUGAAAAUUCGACAAACAAAUUAUGGAAUUACUUUUGUUGGUAUUGAUCACCCUUUUCUAAAAUUAACAUUCCUCAUUUUGAAACAAUUACUCUUGGAAUAGCAAAUUAGGAGAGAUUGUGCAAUAGUGAAGGUGCCCUAGAGGCUUGAAAUUUUAUGGUGUAUAAUAAUACUUAUUAUAAUUGUGAGUUGGUAAACCUUAAAUUGUGUCCAUAUAUACAUAAGGGCAAGCUUUCUAUGUUUCCCUUACAACAUAAAACUUAGGAAAAAUUACAAAAAACAUCCUAAAAUGGACUAUCUAUGGCAACUUACCGCCACCCCAAUCUUUUCUCUCACUUUUUCCCCCCAAACAAUCUUUCUUUGCAAAUAACCCCCA
rnacentral:lncRNA from 1 species